rnacentral:rRNA from 1 species
CAAUAGCGUAUAUUAAAGUUGUUGCGGUUAAAAAGCUCGUAGUUGGAUUUCUGCUGAGAACGACCGGUCCGCCCUUUGGGUGUGUAUCUGGCUCUUUCUUGGCAUCUUCUUGGUGAACGUUGCUGCACUUGACUGUGUGGAGCGCUACCCAGGACUUUUACUUUGAGGAAAUUAGAGUGUUUCAAGCAGGCAUACGCCUUGAAUACAUUAGCAUGGAAUAAUAAGAUAGGACCUCGGUUCUAUUUUGUUGGUUUCUAGAGCUGAGGUAAUGAUUAAUAGGGAUAGUUGGGGGCAUUCGUAUUUAACUGUCAGAGGUGAAAUUCUUGGAUUUGUUAAAGGCGGACUACUGCGAAAGCAUUUGCCAAGGAUGUUUNCAUUG